UACGUAGGGUGCGAGCGUUAAUCGGAAUUACUGGGCGUAAAGCUUGCGCAGGCGGCUUUGCAAGACAGAUGUGAAAUCCCCGGGCUCAACCUGGGAACUGCAUUUGUGAAUGCAAGGCUAGAGUACGGCAGAGGGGGAUGGAAUUCCGCGUGUAGCAGUGAAAUGCGUAGAUAUGCGGAGGAACACCAAUGGCGAAGGCAAUCCCCUGGGCCUGUACUGACGCUCAUGCACGAAAGCGUGGGGAGCAAACAGG
rnacentral:rRNA from 1 species